GCAAACUUGGUCAUUUAGAGGAAGUAAAAGUCGUAACAAGGUUUCCGUAGGUGAACCUGCGGAAGGAUCAUUCAAAAUAAAAGUGAAUUUUUAAAUAUGGCACUUUUAAAAAAAAUCCAUAUCCACCUUGUGUGCAAUGUAUUUUAUGAAGGGGAGGAGAGCUGUUUCUCUCUCUCUCUUUUGUAUUUCCAUUUUCAACACUCUUUAUUUGAAACCUGUUUGUCUGAAACAAAAAUUAUUCUUUUUGAAUAAAAACUUAAUUCAAAAAAUAUAACUUUCAACAACGGAUCUCUUGGCUCUCGCAUCGAUGAAGAACGCAGC
rnacentral:misc_RNA from 1 species